rnacentral:tRNA from 1 species
UAGAAGAUAGUAUAAUUGGAAGCACGAAGAGUUUUGAUCUCUUAGGUAUGGGUUCGAAUCCUAUUUUUCUAG